GACAGAGGGUGCAAACGUUGUUCGGAAUUACUGGGCGUAAAGCGCGUGUAGGCGGCUAAGUAAGUCGGGCGUGAAAUCCCACGGCUCAACCGUGGAAGUGCACUCGAAACUGCAUAGCUAGAGUCCUGGAGAGGAAGGUGGAAUGCUUGGUGUAGAGGUGAAAUUCGUAGAUAUCAAGUGGAACACCGGUGGCGAAGGCGGCCUUCUGGACAGUGACUGACGCUGAGACGCGAAAGCGUGGGGAGCAAACAGG
rnacentral:rRNA from 1 species